rnacentral:rRNA from 1 species
AGUUGCGAACGGGUGAGUAACGCGUAGGUAACCUGCCUCUUAGCGGGGGAUAACUAUUGGAAACGAUAGCUAAUACCGCAUAAAAGUCGAUAUCGCAUGAUAUUGAUUUGAAAGGUGCAAUUGCAUCACUAAGAGAUGGACCUGCGUUGUAUUAGCUAGUUGGUGAGGUAACGGCUCACCAAGGCGACGAUACAUAGCCGACCUGAGAGGGUGAUCGGCCACACUGGGACUGAGACACGGCCCAGACUCC